UUAAGACCUAGCAAUAGGUAUGCUUAGGGAGGAGCUUGCGUCACAUUAGUUAGUUGGUGGGGUAAAGGCCUACCAAGACUAUGAUGUGUAGCCGGGCUGAGAGGUUGAACGGCCACAUUGGGACGAGACACGGCCCAAACUCCUACGGGAGGCAGCAGUAGGGAAUUUUCGGCAAUGGAGGAAACUCUGACCGAGCAACGCCGCGUGAACGAUGAAGUAUUUCGGUACGUAAAGUUCUUUUAUUAGGGAAGAAUAAAUGAUGGAAAAAUCAUUCUGACGGUACCUAAUGAAUAAGCCCCGGCUAACUAUGUGCCAGCAGCCGCGGUAAUACAUAGGGGGCAAGCGUUAUCCGGAAUUAUUGGGCGUAAAGGGUGCGUAGGCGGUUAAAUAAGUUUAUGGUCUAAGUGCAAUGCUCAACAUUGUGAGCUAUAAAAACUGUUUAGCUAGAGUAAGAUAGAGGCAAGUGGAAUUCCAUGUGUAGUGGUAAAAUGCGUAAAUAAUGGAGGAACACCAGUAGCGAAGGCGGCUUGCUGGGUCUUUACUGACGCUGAGGCACGAAAGCGUGGGAGCAAACAGGAUUAGAUACCCUGGUAGUCCACGCCGUAAACGAUGAGUACUAAACGUUGGGUAAAACCAGUGUUGAAGUUAACACAUUAAGUACUCCGCCUGAGUAGUACGUACGCAAGUAUGAAACUUAAAGGAAUUGACGGGACUCCGCACAAGCGGUGGAUCAUGUUGUUUAAUUCGAAGGUACCCGAAAAACCUCACCAGGUCUUGACAUGCUUCUGCAAAGCUGUAGAAACACAGUGGAGGUUAUCAGUUGCACAGGUGGUGCAUGGUUGUCGUCAGCUCGUGUCGUGAGAUGUUGGGUUAAGUCCCGCAACGAGCGCAACCCUUAUUGUUAGUUACCAGCACGUAAUGGUGGGGACUUUAGCAAGAUGCCAGUGAUAAAUUGGAGGAAGGUGGGGACGACGUCAAAUCAUCAUGCCCCUUAUGACCUGGGCUACAAACGUAUACAAUGGCUGUUACAAAGGGUAGCUGAAGCGCAAGUUUUUGGCGAAUCUCAAAAAAACAGUCUCAGUUCGGAUUGAAGUCUGCAACUCGACUUCAUGAAGUUGGAAUCGCUAGUAAUCGCGAAUCAGACA
rnacentral:rRNA from 1 species